rnacentral:rRNA from 1 species
UACGAAGGGUGCAAACGUUGCUCGGAAUCAUUGGGCGUAAAGCGCACGUAGGCGGCUUCACAAGUCGGAUGUGAAAUCCCGUGGCUCAACCAUGGACGUGCAUUCGAAACUGCGAAGCUUGAGUAUGGAAGAGGGUCGCGGAAUUCCCGGUGUAGAGGUGAAAUUCGUAGAUAUCGGGAGGAACGCCAGUGGCGAAGGCGGCGACCUGGACGGACACUGACGCUGAGACGCGAAAGCGUGGGGAGCAAACAGG